GUUGUAAUGUGGCCGAGUGGUUAAGGCGAUGGACUCGAAAUCCAUUGGGAUAUUCCCACGCAGGUUCGAAUCCCGCCGACUGCG